AAUUAGUUAGUUUAUUUAAAAUGUAUAUUUUCAAAAUAUAAGAUGAUGCUUAGUUACUAAUUG
rnacentral:tRNA from 1 species